GAUGAACGCUAGCGACAGGCCUAACACAUGCAAGUCGAGGGGCAGCAUGAAAUUAGCUUGCUAAUUUUGAUGGCGACCGGCGCACGGGUGAGUAACACGUAUGCAACCUGCCUGUAAGCGGGGGAUAACCCGGAGAAAUUCGGACUAAUACCGCAUAAUAUCAUUAAUUCGCAUGUUGUAAUGAUUAAAAAUUUAUUGCUUACAGAAGGUCAUGCGUAUGAUUAGCUAGUUGGCGGGGUAACGGCCCACCAAGGCGACGAUCAUUAGGGGUUCUGAGAGGAAGGUCCCCCACAUUGGAACUGAGACACGGUCCAAACUCCUACGGGAGGCAGCAGUGAGGAAUAUUGGUCAAUGGACGAGAGUCUGAACCAGCCAUGUCGCGUGAAGGAUGACUGUCCUAUGGAUUGUAAACUUCUUUUAUAUGGGGAUAAAGUGUGAGACUUGUCUCAUUUUGCAUGUACCAUAUGAAUAAGCAUCGGCUAACUCCGUGCCAGCCGCCGCGGUAACAC
rnacentral:rRNA from 1 species